rnacentral:lncRNA from 1 species
UUGGUCUUAUAGAUUAACGGCCCACGUUAUUACUUACCUAAUUAAACACCCAAACCCCCUUUACCCUCAUCAUUUCUCUCAACCAGCCGCCUUUGAAUCCCUAAACACUCUUUACCCCCAUUUCAAACCCUAAUCAUCUCCAGCUCUAUUUAGCAGGCGUUCAUGGCUGCUCAAGCCUUUGAAUACCUCUAUCCGUCAUUUAUCACCAUCCUUGGCCUUUGGUUCGAAGAUUGAGACCUUGUUUCGAGGGUAACUGGACCAGGGGUCCUUUAGUGGGGUUUCACAUCCAUGUCAGGCUUCUCUCCGGCAAGCUUUUGAAGCCUUGGGUCCUUACCAAGCUCCGAUGACGAUGAGUCGUCCAGGCUUUUCUCGCCAUUUCUGAGGCUUUUUAUGAAAACCCUAAUUGAUUCGAGGUUCUUUUUCCUGUCUCUCUGUAUUAUUUUACGAUCUUCUCUGAGUUUUAUUUGUUUUCUAAAGGUUUUUACGUAUCUCUCAUCCUUUUUUUGCCUGGUUGUGUUUCCAAAGACUGUUCGUCUUUUAAAAUCUAGGGUUUCUAUGAACUGUUUGAUUCUUUGAUUUUGUUGUUUAUUUCUUGUUACUAUGUGUUNNNNNNNNNNNNNNNNNNNNNNNNNNNNNNNNNNNNAUUUUGUUGUUUAUUUUUUGUUACUUUGUGUUCUUCUUAGUAAUUUGAGCAUCUUCUUCUUUAGCUCUAAACAUUUCGCCUCACUGAUUACCUUCCUAGGGUUUUCAAAUAGUUUGUGCUGAGAUAUCUUCACAAUGUUCUGCUCUUGUUCCUCUCCGUUUAUGACAUCUUUUUUGUUAUGACUUAUAGUGGAAAUCCUAAUUUCUAAGGGUAUUUGUCAUUAAUCUUUCUCUGUGAAACCCUAGCUAUAUAAUCGUUUUCUCGUAUAUAUUUUGCUAUAUGUCUAUUAU